rnacentral:rRNA from 1 species
GACGAACGCUGGCGGCGUGCUUAACACAUGCAAGUCGAACGGAAAGGCCCUGCUUUUGUGGGGUGCUCGAGUGGCGAACGGGUGAGUAACACGUGAGUAACCUGCCCUUGACUUUGGGAUAACUUCAGGAAAAUGGGGCUAAUACCGGAUAGGAGCUCCUGCUGCAUGGUGGGGGUUGGAAAGUUUCGGCGGUUGGGGAUGGUCUCGCGGCUUAUCAGCUUGUUGGUGGGGUAGUGGCUUACCAAGGUUUUGACGGGUAGCCGGCCUGGGAGGGUGACCGGCCACAUUGGGACUGAGGUACGGCCCAGACUCCUACCGGAGGCAGCAGGGGGGAAUAUGGCGCAAUGGGCGGGAGCGUGAUGCAGCAACGCCGCGUGCGGGAUGACGGCCUUCGGGUGGUAAACCGCUGUCGCCUGUAACGAAGCGUGAGUGACGGUAAUGAGUAAAGAAGCACCGGCUAACUACGUG